AGAUUACAAAAUCAAUACACAGAAAUCAAUGGCAUUUCUAAGUACUAAUAAUGAAGGGUCAGAAAGUGAUAUUAGGGAAACCAUACCAUUUACCAUCAUAUCAAAAGGAAUAAAAUACCUAGGAAUAAACCUACCUAAAGAGACAAAAGACCUGACAACUGUAAGACACUGAUGAAAGAAAUCAAAGAUGACACAAAUAGAUGGAAAGGUAUACCAUGCUCUUGGAUUAGAAGAAUCAAUAUAGACAAAAUUACAAUACUAUCUAAGGCAAUCUAUAUAUUCAGUGCAAUCCCUAUCAAAUUGCCUAUGACAUUCUUUAUAGAACUAGAAAAAAUAUUUUAAAAUUUGUAUAGAAACCCCAAAGACCCUGAAUAGCCAAUGCAAUGUUGAAGAGAAAAAACGGAAGUGGAUUAAUCAGGGUAACUGACUUCAGACAAGUUACAAGGCUCUACAUCAUCAAAACAGUAUGGUACUGGCACAAAAAUAAAAACAUUGAUAAAUAGAACAGGAUAGAAAGCCCAAAAAUAAACCCAAGCACUUACGGUUCAAUAAUCUAUGACAAAGGAGAAAAGAACAUACAGUGAUGGAAACAACCACAUGUAACAUAUUCUAACACCAUACACAAACAUGAACUCAAAAUGGAUUGAAGACCUAAAUAUAAGGCCAAAAUCUUAGAGGAAAAUGUAGGCAGAAUGCUCUUUGACAUAAAUCAUAGCAACAUCUUGUUUGACCUACCUCCUUGAGUAAUGACUGUAAAGGCAAAAAUAAGCCAGUGGGACCUAAUUAAACUCAAAACCUUCUGCACAGUGAAGGAAACCAUUAAAAAAACAAAAAGACAACCCACAGAAUGGGAGAAAUUCUUUGCAAAUUAUUCAAACCAAUGGAGGUUUUAUUUCCAAAAUAUACCAACAACUCCUACAACUCAACAAGAAAAACACAAACAACCCAGCUGAAAAAUGGGCAGAAGAUGAAAUAGACAUUUCUCCAAAGAAGACAUAUAGAUGGCCACCAGAAACAGGAAAAAAAUGCUCAAUAUUACUAAUUAUUAGAGAAAUGCAAAUCAAAACUACAAUGAAGUACCACCUCACAUUAGUUACAGUGGUCAUUAUUAAGAAGUCAACAAACAACAAAUGCUGGAGAGGAUGUAGAGAAAAGGAUAACCCCCUUUUCUGUUUGUGGGAAUGUAAAUUGGUACAACCAUUGUGGAUAAAAGCAUGGAGGUACCUCAUUAACUAAAUAGAGAACUACCAUAGGAUCCAGCAAUCUCACUUCUGGGCAUAUAUCCAGAAAAAAACUUUCAUUGAAAAAAUACAUGCAUUUGUACGUUCAUCGUUGCCCUAUUCACAGUACUGGAGAAAUGGAAACAACCUAAAUGUCCAUCGGCAGAUGAAUGGAUUAAAAAUAUAUGGUACAUAGCAAAAGAAACCAUAAAAAAACAAAAGACAACUUACAGUAUGGGAGAAAAUAGUUUCAAAUGAUGCAACUGACAAAGGCUUAAUCUAUAAAAUAUGCAAAUAACUUAUAAAACUCAACAGCAAAAAAGCCAACAACCCAGUUGAAAAAUGGGCAAAAGACCCGAAUAGACAUUUCUCCAAAGAAGAUAUGCAGAUGGCAAACAAGCACGUGAAAAAAGGCUCAACAUCCCUGAUUAUUAGAGAAAUGCAAAUCAAAACUACCAUGAUGUAUCACCUCACACCAGUCAGAAUGGCCAUCAUUAAUAAGUCCACAAAUAACAAAGGCUGUAGAUGGUGUGGAGAAAAGGGAACCCUCCUGCACUGUUAGCAGGAAUGUAAAUUGAUACAGCCACUAUGGAAAACAGUAUGGAGGUACGUUAGAAAACUAUACAUAUAACUACCAUAUGACCCAGCAAUCCCACUCUUGGAUAUAUAUUCAGACAGAAUUUCCUUAAAAAAGACACAUGUACCCUCAUGUUCAUUGCAGCACUAUUCACAGUAGCCAAGACAUGGAAACAAGCUAAAUGUCCAUCGACAGAUGAUUGGAUUAAACUGUGUUAUACUGAGUCAGAAGAUAAGUAAUAUGAGAUGGAAUUAAAAUGGCAGAAUAGAAGGACUUGAGCUCAACUUUUGUCAUAAAAACAACAAAAUUACAACCAAAUGCUGAGCAACCUUCAACCAAAUGGACUGGAAACUUUCAAAAAGAUAUCCUACUCCAGAAGACAAAGUGGAGGCCACCUCAAGAGGUACAAGGGAUGAUUUCAUGAUAUAAGCAACCCCAUACCUCCCGGGUGGGAAGCUCCACAGACUGGAAAGUAACUGUAACACAGAGACUCACCUAUAGGAGUGAGAUUUCUGAGCCCCACGUCAAGUCCCCAUGCCUGGGGAUCCAGCACUGGGAGAAAGAGCCCCUGGAGCAUCUGGCAUUGAAGGUCAGUGGGGCUUGUGCGCAGGAGCUCCACAGGACUGGGGGAAAUGGAGACCCCAUUCUUGAAAGAUGCACACAGACUUUCACAUGCAUUGGUUCCCAGGGCAAAGCAAAGGCCCCAUAGGAAUCUGGGUUGGACCUGACUGCACUUUGUGGAGCAUCUCCUGGGAAAACAGCGGUUGACUGUGGCUUUUGUGGGGGUAGGGCAUUGGAGGCAAAGCUCUUGGGAAUAUUUAUCAGUGUGCGUUUCUCUGGAGGUGGUCAUCUUGUGACAAUCUGGCCCCAACCAUCAGCGCUGAGAAACCCCAAGCCAAACAACAAUCCAGGUGGAAUCACAGCCCCACCCAUCAAUAAACAGAUGCCUAAAAACUCCCCCAGGAACAUGGCUGCAUCUAAUCUCACCCAGAAACAAAGCCCCACCCACCAGCUCCCCCUACCAAUGGGCAGGCACCAGUCCCUCCCAUCAGGAAGGUUACAGCAAGCCCUCAUACCAAAUUCAGCCAUAAGGAGGGCAGACACCAGAAGUAAGAGAGGCUACAACUCUAUUGUUUGCAAAAAGGUGACCACUCCAAAAACGCAUAAAAAUGAAAAGGCAGAGAACUUAUAACUCACAUAAGGGAGAAAGAAAAAAAAAAACCAGAAAAACAGCUAAAAAAGUUUGGAAUAUUUAUUCCUCUUC
rnacentral:lncRNA from 1 species